rnacentral:tRNA from 1 species
GAUUCCAUGGUGUUAUGGUCAGCACUCUGGGCUCUGAAUCCAGCGAUCCGAUUUGGAUUCUCGGUGGAAUCU